AACGCGAAGAACCUUACCAAGGCUUGACAUGUAGUAGAUCACCGUGGAAACACGGCUCCCUUCGGGGCUGCUGCACAGGUGCUGCAUGGCUGUCGUCAGCUCGUGUCGUGAGAUGUUGGGUUAAGUCCCGCAACGAGCGCAACCCUCGUCGUCGGUUAUCGGUGUCCGAGGAAACUGCCACGAUCAACGUGGAGGAAGGUGGGGAUGACGUCAAGUCAGCACGGCCCUUACGUCUUGGGCGACACACACGCUACAAUGGCCGCGACAACGAGUCGCCAACCCGCGAGGGGGAGCUAAUCUCAGCAAACGCGGUCUCAGUUCAGAUUGUAGGCUGCAACUCGCCUGCAUGAAGUUGGAGUUGCUAGUAACCGUGAGUCAGCACAUCACGGUGAAUACGUUCCCGGGCCUUGUACACACCGCUCGUC
rnacentral:rRNA from 1 species